rnacentral:rRNA from 1 species
AUUGAACGCUGGCGGCAGGCCUAACACAUGCAAGUCGAGCGAGCGGCGGACGGGUGAGUAAUGUAUGGGGACUGCCCGAUAGAGGGGGAUAACUCCGGGAAACGGUGGCUACUACCGCAUAAUAUCGGAUACACCAUCUGGGAUUAGCUAGUAGGUGGGGUAAAGGCUCACCUAGUCUACGAUCUCUAGCUGGUCUGAUUGGAGGAUCAGCCACACUGGGACUGAGACACGGCCCAGACUCCUACGGAGGCAGCAGUGGGGAAUAUUGCACAAUGGGCGCAAGCCUGAUGCAGCCAUGCCGCGUGUAUGAAGAAGGCCUUAGGGUUGUAAAGUACUUUCAGCGGGGAGGCGUUACCCGCAGAAGAAGCACCGGCUAACUCCGUGCCAGCAGCCGCGGUAAUUC